AAGUCGUAACAAGGUUUCCGUAGGUGAACCUGCGGAAGGAUCAUUAACACAAUUUUACUGUGAUAAAUCCGUUGAAUUCUCGAAUUCAAUGGUAUCCACCCCAUUAUUGACGAACUUUCUAGAUGUUAAAAACAUUCUAAACCUCUUUCUGUACCCACACACAUUUAAACCCCUUUUACAACAUGUCUUAGACUGAAAUGAAAAAUUUCUAUCAAAAAAUUGAUAAAAACAACUUUUAACAACGGAUAUCUUGGCUCUC
rnacentral:misc_RNA from 1 species